rnacentral:rRNA from 1 species
AGUGAACGCUGGCGGUAGGCCUAACACAUGCAAGUCGAACGGCAGCACAGUAAGAGCUUGCUCUUACGGGUGGCGAGUGGCGGACGGGUGAGGAAUACAUCGGAAUCUACUUUUUCGUGGGGGUUAACGUAGGGAAACUUACGCUAAUACCGCAUACGCCCUACGGGUGAAAGCAGUGGAUCUUCGGACCUUGCGCGAUUGAAUGAGCCGCUGUCGGAUUUGCUAGUUGGCGGGGUAAAGGCCCACCAAGGCGACGAUCCGUAGCUGGUCUGAGAGGAUGAUCAGCCACACUGGAACGGAGACACGGUCCAGACGCCUACGGGAGGCAGCAGUGGGGAAUAGUGGACAAUGGGCGCAAGCCUGAUCCAGCCAGACCGCGUGGGUGAAGAAGGCCUUCGGGUUGUAAAGCCCUUUUGUUGGGAAAGAAAAGCAGCAGGUUAAUACCCCGCUGUUCUGACGGUACCCAAAGAAUAAGCACCGGCUAACUUCGUG